UGCUAAUUUCUUUGUUCUCAUUUUUGCAGGGUUUUACCAUAGGAGAUGGGAAUUUAACAUAAAUUUUUGGAAUAGGAGUAGUUGAGAAAUCAGAACAAGUUUUGAGACCUUCAAUGUGUUACUUGGAGUAGGAGAUUUGCAAGUUUUGUCUAUCUCAGAUUUGGGUUUAUUCCUCCUCUCUUUUGCCCAUUUAUCUUUGCUCAUUUACUUCUUUCAACCCUGUUUGUUCAUAUUUUUCAAAGAUCAGAAUGAGAGAGAAAAAAAGGGCUUCAAGAUGGAAGAUGGUGAAUUGUGAAACCUUCCCAUGAACUAAAGUUUUGUUGGAUCAAAGCACGGGGAAGAUUUGUAUGUGCUUAUCAUUCAAGGGACUUUGAUCCAGGUGGGUCAGCUUCUUCACAUCCAUAUUUAUCUAAUCAGGUACAAUUCUAGAAGCUUAAAUUUUUUGUAUUUGAUGCAAUUUGUAUUACACACCUUCAUCUAGAUUAUUACCAAGCCAACAAGUAUCAUUAUCUCA